GGGGGUUUUUUUUGGAUCGAGGAGCUAGCUUCAAGCUUUUUUUAAGGUUACUAGUUCGGUUUCAUUGGAGGUUUUUGAAGAUCAAGGGGAUUGAAGAGGAGCUUCAUACUUCGGGUCGGAGAAGAAAAGAUGGAGAAUUGGAUUUUUCUUCUUCAUAGAGUUUUGAGAAGACUGAGGCAAUCGUUGCUGAAGUCAGUGUUGUAAUGGUGAAUCGGGAUUUUUUAAUGAAGUGGGUUUGAUUACUCUUGACUGUUUUGUGAAAUCGAGUUACGUCUGUGAUUGAAGGAUUAAAAGGGUGUCUAUAGGAUUGAGUAUGCGGAGUGAAUGAAAUUUAUUGGGUUAAUCUAACAAGAUAGUCAGUGGAUACAAGAUCGUAAGUACAAAGCGGUAUCG
rnacentral:lncRNA from 1 species